CCUACGGGUGGCAGCAGUGGGUAAUAUUGCACAAUGGGGGAAACCCUGAUGAAGCGACGCCGCGUGAGUGAAGAAGUAUGUCGGUAUGUAAAGCUCUAACAGCAGGGAAGAUAAUGACGGUACCUGACUAAGAAGCCCCGGCUAACUACGUGCCAGCGGCCGCGGUAAUACGUUGGGGGCAAGCUUGAUGCGGAGUUAAUGGGUGUAAAGGGAACGGAGGUGGCAGGGCAAGUCAGAUGUUAAAACCCGGGUCUCAACCCCGGGAUUGCAUUUGAAAAUGUCCAGCGAGAGUGCAGGAGAGGUAAGCGGAAUUCAUAGUGUAGCGGUGAAAUGCAUAGAUAUUAGGAGGACCACCAGUGGCGACGGCGGCUUACUGGACUGUAACUGACACUGAGGCUCGAAAGCGUGGGGAGCAAACAGGAUUAGAUACCCGAGUAGUC
rnacentral:rRNA from 1 species